GUAUGUAUUUAAAAAACAUAUAAUUGAUUAUAUUUUAAUAUUUUAAAUAAUCUAAUUCAUAAUUUUGUUUAUAUUUAAAACACAAAAGUAAAAGAUCAACAGAAGGGGAAAAUCACGUGAAUGGGGCUCAAAGUGAGAAACAUGAAAUUUAUGGUCUAUCAAAUUUGUGGCUGUAAAAGGGGGAAAUCAAGAAGAAAAUUGAGCUCCUCUCUCCCAAUUCGUGGUCGAUCUCAACAGACAUGGCGGCGUACUUUGAUUUGUAUUGUACCCGAGCGAUGCAGAUAAGCAUCUGUUGGCAAGAAAGACCGGUCUAUCCCGAAAUCAGGUUUGUCCCUCUCCACUCUCAGCUUUCCACAAUUCACCACACUUUUACAUUGUAUCUAAGAGGGAAUCUUUACUCUGUUAAUUUUAAUGUAAUUAUAGUACAUGAUGAACGAACGGACCACAUAAGAAAAUGAAAGAUAAUCUGUUAAGGGAAUGGAAGAAAAGGGGUCAGUUGUAGGUUCAGAUAAAAUUUGCAUGGUUUUGGGUUUUUGUUGAUUUCUCUGGUUUCAUACUGACAUUUGUGGUGGCGUGGUGAGAGAUGCUGUGGGACAGUGUGUCUUGGCUUCAACAGUAACCUGGGCGAGUUCAUGUUCGACGACACCGCCGAGGUGCAGAUAAUCGAUCUCUUGCCAUCCUGAAAAGUUGGGCAAUGGGAUUUUCUCUGUCAAGCAUUUCCUUUAGAUCUUCAACUAUGGUUGCAUCAAGUUCUUCUGCCUUUGCUCCCUUUUUGAAGGAGCACAUUCUAUUUUGGAUUUCAUUUUCUGUAUCAUGGAUAUAAAGCUGGCAGAAUUUUGGGGUUUCUCCUUCUUCAGUUGCAGAGAUUCAAUGCAGAUCUUCUAAGCGAUUGGGAAUAUGCUCCAAGUUGGACUUUGCAGCGUUCACUUCAGAUCCAAUUGAGGAGUCGUUGAUUUCCAAUAUGGUCUCUGUUACUUUGUCUGGUACUCAUCUUUAUUUGAAAAACAUGUGAAGAGCCUAUGGUUUUCAGGAGUUGUGGAGGAAUCACAACUGAACUUUGUUGAUGUGUUAGAGACCUUUCUUUUGCAAUGAGGGCAGGAAACAUAAAACCACCCGUUUUUCAGCAAGAUGUCAUUUAUAGUUGCAGCACAACAAUAGGAUGUUGAAGUCUAAGGUAUGUAUGAUUUGAGUGUGUUUGAGUUGUUUAUAUAGAGAUAUGCAAUAGUGCAUGAUUUAGUGUAAUUCAAUUAUUUCAAAUUAAUGUAGGUAGAUGAAUAGGCUCUUUGUAUUGCCAAGUUUUAUCAGUUUUAUCAGUUUUUGCAGGGUGGUUCACUGCUUUGAAAUGGGAGGUUAUGGAUUUGUGCAGAAUUUAUGAAAUUGAGAGACAGUAUUAAUUUCAAUUAACAUUGUUAUUGAAAAAGUGUGCUCAAAAACAUUGUACACGUGAUGUAUAUAGUAUAUAGAAGAUUUCUUUGAGCAGCUGAAGGAAAUUCCGUUGGAAUAAUUUCUUUAAUGUCACUAUGUAGUAUUGUUGUCAGUUUCACAUUUGUCAUUUUCAUUAAGUGUUGUGUAGUCAGUUUUAUAUUUGUCAGUUUCAGGUUGUUGUGUAACUUUCCUUGGUUACUUGUCAGCCUCAUUGAGAAGCAUCUGUCAUCUUUGUAAUUGAAGUUGGAUUUGAUGAAACACAUACGUGUGCAAAGUGUAUUGAAAUCUCUAUUGACCACA